rnacentral:lncRNA from 1 species
UGUGACACUGACCGCCCAGUGACCACCCAGUGACCAACUGACCACCCAGUGACUGCUGAGUGACCAACAAGUGACCAACUGACCGCCCCUGGAUAUCCCCUCUGUGACACUGACCAGGCACUGACCACUGAGUGACAAACUGACUGCUGAUUGACCGAUGAGUGACCAACAAGUGACCGCUGAGUGACCAACAAGUGACCAACUGACCACCCAGUGACUGCUGAGUGACUGCCAAGUGACCAACUGACCACCCCCUGGAUAUCCCCUCUGUGACACUGAACCACUGAGUCACCGCCCAGUGACCAACUGACCGCCCAGUGACCGCCCAGUGACCGCCCAGUGACCGACGAGUGACCACCCAGUGACCAACUGACCACCCCCUGGAUAUCCCCUCUGUGACACUGACCACUGAGUGACCACUGAGUGACCAACUGACCGCCCAGUGACCACCGAGUGACCGCCCAGUGACCAACUGACCGCCCAGUGACCACCGAGUGACCGCCCAGUGACCAACUGACCACCCCCUGGAUAUCCCCUCUGGGACACUGACCGCUGAGUGACCACUGAGUGACCAACUGACCGCCCAGUGACCAACUGACCGCCCCCUGGACAUCCUCUCUGUGACAUUGACCACUGAGUGACCACUGAGUGACCAACUGACCGCCCCCAGAUACCCCCUCUGUGACACUGACCACUAAAUGACCACCAAGUGACCAACUGACCACCCCCUGGAUACCCCCUCUGGGACACUGACCAGUCACUGACCACUGAGUGACCACCCUGGGGGACACUGACCACUCAGUGACCACUGAGUGACCACUGAGUGACCCCUGAGUGAGUGACCCCUUGACCCCCCAGUGACCAACUGACCACCAAGUGCCAAGUGAGUGACCAACUGACCCCUGAGUGACCAACUGACCUCUGAGUGACCAACUGACCCCUGAGUGACCCAGGAGUGCUCAGCUGACCCCUGAGUGACCCCUGAGUGACCAACUGACCCCUGAGUGACCAACUGACCCCUGAGUGACCCCUGAGUGCCCCCGGGGAGGGGGUGGGGCCUGGCUGAUGAAUAAAGUGCCCUUCAUUAACGAUUGAUUAAUUAACGACUGCCGAGCGAUUGAUGAGUGACGUCAUUGGGGGAGGGGCCAGACACGAGGGGGGGGGGAGGGGACAGCAGGGCCGCCCCUCCCCCACCCCCCAGUGCUCCCAGUGCUCCCAGUAACAGCUCCCAGUGCUCCCAGUAACUCCCAGUAACAGCUCCCAGUGCUCCCAGUAACCCGUCCCAGUGCUACCAGUGCUCCGAGUGUUGCCAGUGCUCUCCCAGUGCUCCCAGUAAAAGCUCCCAGUGCUCCCAGUAAUGCCCAGUGCCCCCCCAGUGCUCCCAGUAAUGACCAGGGACCCCUCCCAGUGCUCCCAGUAACGGCUCCAAGUGCUCCCAGUGACAGCUCCCAGUGCUCCCAGUAACUCCCCAAGACCCCUCCCAGUGCUCCCAGUAACAGCUCCCAGUGCUCCCAGUAACACCCAGUAACUCCCAGUGCUCCCAGUAACAGCUCCCAGUGCUCCCAGUAAGAGCUCCCAGUGCUCCCAGUAACUCCCAGUGCUCCCAGUGCUCCCAGUGCUCCCAGUAACCCUUCCCAGUGCUCCCAGUGACCCUUCCCAGUGCUCCCAGUAAUGGCCAUUAACAGCUCCCAGUAACUCCCAGUAACUCCCAAUAACAGUUCCCAGUAACUCCCAGUGCUCCCAGUGCUCCCAGGAACAGCUCCCAGUGCUCCCAGUAAUGCCCAGUGACCCCUCCCAGUGCUCCCAGUAACGCCCAGUGACCCCUCCCAGUGCUCCCAGUGAUCCCAGUAACACACAGUGACAGCUCCUAGUGCUCCCAGUAACAGCUCCCAGUAAUUCCCAGUAACAGCUCCCAGUUCUCCCAGUAAUACCCAGUAGCUCCCAGUGCUCCCAGUAACAGCUCACAGUAACACCCAGUGACCCCUCCCAGUGCUCCCAGUAACACCCAGUGACCCCUCCCAGUGCUCCCAGUAAGAGCUCCCAGUGCUCCCAGUAACAGCUCCCAGUGCUCCCAGUAACCUGUAUAAACUGGUUUUACAUGGUUAGAUAGAGAAAUUAAAUUGUCUCUCACAAACAGCUUUUCCUGCACGUACGCAUUGGGGGUUUGAGUCCCCAAUCAAUACAGGGUAACAACUUGUUACUGACCAACUGGGGAUAGACAGGGGAUGUUCUUAAAAAGCCCUAAAAAAGGGAGUCCCAAAAUAAACUGGGAUUGAUCCUUUCUUUUUGCACCAUAA